GUAGGGGGCAAGCGUUGUCCGGAUUUAUUGGGCGUAAAGAGCGUGUAGGCGGUUUGGUAGGUCCGUUGUGAAAACUCGAGGCUCAACCUCGAGACGCCGAUGGAAACCAUCAGACUAGAGUCCGGAAGAGGAGAGUGGAAUUCCUGGUGUAGCGGUGAAAUGCGCAGAUAUCAGGAAGAACACCCGUGGCUAAGGCGGCUCUCUAGUACGGUACUGACGCUGAGACGCGAAAGCGUGGGGAGCGAACAGGAUUAGAUACCCUGGUAGUCCACGCCGUAAACGAUGGGUGCUAGGUGUAGGGGGUGUCGACUCCCUCUGUGCCGAAGCUAACGCAUUAAGCACCCCGCCUGGGGAGUACGGCCGCAAGGCUA
rnacentral:rRNA from 1 species